UAGAGUUUGAUCCUGGCUCAGGAUGAUUGCUAGCUACCGGCUUAACACAUGCAAGUCGAGGGGUAACGGGGGAGCUUGCUCCCGCCGACGACCGGCGAAUGGGUGAGUAACGCGUAUCCAACCUGCCUGAUGCCCUUGGAUAGCCCUUAGAAAUGAGGAUUAAGACAGGAUAUGUAGCCUUCCCGCAUGGGUCGGCUAUGAAACAGACAUCAGAUGGGGAUGCGUUGGAUUAGCUGGUUGGCGGGGUAACGGCCCACCAAGGCUACGAUCCAUAGGGGUUCUGAGAGGAAGGUCCCCCACAUUGGUACUGAGACACGGACCAAACUCCUACGGGAGGCAGCAGUGAGGAAUAUUGGUCAAUGGGCGGAAGCCUGAACCAGCCAAGUAGCGUGAAGGAUGACGGCCCUACGGGUUGUAAACUUCUUUUGCCGGGGGAUAAAAAACGCCACGUGUGGCGUCUUGCAGGUACCCGUGCGAAUAAGGACCGGCUAAUUCCGUGCCAGCAGCCGCGGUAAUACGGAAGGUCCGAGCGUUAUCCGGAUUUAUUGGGUUUAAAGGGAGCGCAGGCGGAGAUGUAAGCCAGCCGUAAAAUCGUCGGGCUCAACCCCGAUCCCGCGGUUGGAACUGCAUCCCUUGAGUGCGGGAGAGGUAGGUGGAAUUCGUGGUGUAGCGGUGAAAUGCAUAGAUAUCACGAAGAACUCCGAUUGCGAAGGCAGCCUACUGGUCCGUUACUGACGCUCAUGCUCGAAGGUGCGGGUAUCAAACAGGAUUAGAUACCCUGGUAGUCCGCACAGUAAACGAUGAAUGCUCGCGGUUUGGCCUUAUGGUUGAGCCGCCAAGCGAAAGCGUUAAGCAUUCCACCUGGGGAGUACGCCGGCAACGGUGAAACUCAAAGGAAUUGACGGGGGCCCGCACAAGCGGAGGAACAUGUGGUUUAAUUCGAUGAUACGCGAGGAACCUUACCCGGGCUUGAAAUGUGCAUGACGGACUGCAGAGACGCGGUCUUCCUUCGGGCAUGCAUGUAGGUGCUGCAUGGUUGUCGUCAGCUCGUGCCGUGAGGUGUCGGCUUAAGUGCCAUAACGAGCGCAACCCUUCCCGCCGGUUACCAUCAUUCAGUUGGGGACUCCGGCGGCACUGCCAUCGCAAGAUGUGAGGAAGGCGGGGAUGACGUCAAAUCAGCACGGCCCUUACGUCCGGGGCCACACACGUGUUACAAUGGGGGGCACAGAGAGCUGGAUCACGGCGACGUGGUUCGAAUCAAUAAAUCCCCUCCCAGUUCGGACUGGAGUCUGCAACCCGACUCCACGAAGCUGGAUUCGCUAGUAAUCGCGCAUCAGCCAUGGCGCGGUGAAUACGUUCCCGGGCCUUGUACACACCGCCCGUCAAG
rnacentral:rRNA from 1 species